UACAGAGGGAGCGAGCGUUAUCCGGAAUGAUUGGGCGUAAAGCGUCUGUAGGUGGUUUAGAAAGUCUACUGUCAAAUCCCAAGGCUCAACCUUGGGCAGGCAGUAGAGUACUUUUAGACUAGAGUGUGGUAGAGGUAGAGGGAAUCCCUAGCGUAACAGUGAAAUGUGUAGAUUUUAGGGAGAACACCAGCGGCGAAGGCGCUCUACUGGGCCGAGACUGACACUGAGAGACGAAAGCUAGGGGAGCGAAUAGG
rnacentral:rRNA from 1 species